rnacentral:rRNA from 1 species
CUGGCUCAGAUUGAACGCUGGCGGCAGGCCUAACACAUGCAAGUCGAGCGGUAACAGGGGAAGCUUGCUUCCCGCUGACGAGCGGCGGACGGGUGAGUAAUGCAUAGGAAUCUACCCGGUCGUGGGGGAUAACCUGGGGAAACCCAGGCUAAUACCGCAUACGUCCUACGGGAGAAAGGGGGCUUCGGCUCCCGCGAUUGGAUGAGCCUAUGUCGGAUUAGCUGGUUGGUGAGGUAACGGCUCACCAAGGCGACGAUCCGUAGCUGGUCUGAGAGGAUGAUCAGCCACAUCGGGACUGAGACACGGCCCGAACUCCUACGGGAGGCAGCAGUGGGGAAUAUUGGACAAUGGGCGCAAGCCUGAUCCAGCCAUGCCGCGUGUGUGUAGAAGGCCCUCGGGUUGUAAAGCACUUUCAGCGAGGAAGAACGCCUAGUGGUUAAUACCCAUUAGGAAAGACAUCACCCGCAGAAGAAGCACCGGCUAACUCCGUGCCAGCAGCCGCGGUAAUACGGAGGGUGCAAGCGUUAAUCGGAAUUACUGGGCGUAAAGCGCGCGUAGGUGGCUUGAUAAGCCGGUUGUGAAAGCCCCGGGCUCAACCUGGGAACGGCAUCCGGAACUGUCAGGCUAGAGUGCAGGAGAGGAAGGUAGAAUUCCCGGUGUAGCGGUGAAAUGCGUAGAGAUCGGGAGGAAUACCAGUGGCGAAGGCGGCCUUCUGGACUGACACUGACACUGAGGUGCGAAAGCGUGGGUAGCAAACAGGAUUAGAUACCCUGGUAGUCCACGCCGUAAACGAUGUCGACCAGCCGUUGGGUGCCUCGCGCACUUAGUGGCGAAGUCAACGCGAUAAGUCGACCGCCUGGGGAGUACGGCCGCAAGGUUAAAACUCAAAUGAAUUGACGGGGGCCCGCACAAGCGGUGGAGCAUGUGGUUUAAUUCGAUGCAACGCGAAGAACCUUACCUACUCUUGACAUCCUGCGAACUUGUGAGAGAUCACUUGGUGCCUUCGGGAACGCAGAGACAGGUGCUGCAUGGCUGUCGUCAGCUCGUGUUGUGAAAUGUUGGGUUAAGUCCCGUAACGAGCGCAACCCUUGUCCUUAUUUGCCAGCGGGUAAUGCCGGGAACUCUAAGGAGACUGCCGGUGACAAACCGGAGGAAGGUGGGGACGACGUCAAGUCAUCAUGGCCCUUACGAGUAGGGCUACACACGUGCUACAAUGGCCGGUACAAAGGGUUGCGAGCUCGCGAGAGUCAGCCAAUCCCGAAAAGCCGGUCUCAGUCCGGAUCGGAGUCUGCAACUCGACUCCGUGAAGUCGGAAUCGCUAGUAAUCGUGAAUCAGAAUGUCACGGUGAAUACGUUCCCGGGCCUUGUACACACCGCCCGUCA